AGUGGCGCACGGGUGAGUAACGCGUGGGUAAUCUACCCUUGGAUUUGGGAUAACUCUGCGAAAGUGGAGCUAAUACCGGAUAGUCUGGCUUUAAUUAAGAAGUCGGUAAAGGAUGCCUCUGCAUAUGCAUUCGUCCGAGGAUGAGCCCGCGUCUCAUUAGCUAGUUGGUAGGGUAAUGGCCUACCAAGGCAACGAUGAGUAGCUGGUCUGAGAGGAUGAUCAGCCACACUGGAACUGAAACACGGUCCAGACUCCUACGGGAGGCAGCAGUGGGGAAUAUUGCGCAAUGGGCGAAAGCCUGACGCAGCAACGCCGUGUGAGGGAUGAAGGCUUUCGGGUCGUAAACCUCUGUCGGAAGGGAAGAACGGGCAUUGGUCUAAUAGGCCUUUGUUUUGACGGUACCUUUAGAGGAAGCACCGGCUAACUCCGUGCCAGCAGCCGCGGUAAUACGGAGGGUGCAAGCGUUAUUCGGAAUUACUGGGCGUAAAGCGCACGUAGGCGGCCUUGUAAGUCAGGGGUGAAAUCCCACGGCUCAACCGUGGAACUGCCUUUGAAACUGCAGGGCUUGAAUCCUGGAGAGGGUGGCGGAAUUCCUGGUGUAGGAGUGAAAUCCGUAGAUAUCAGGAGGAACACCGGUGGCGAAGGCGGCCACCUGGACAGGUAUUGACGCUGAGGUGCGAAAGUGUGGGGAGCAAACAGGAUUAGAUACCCUGGUAGUCCACACCGUAAACGAUGGAUACUAGGUGU
rnacentral:rRNA from 1 species